rnacentral:rRNA from 1 species
UGGGGAAUAUUGGGCAAUGGAGGAAACUCUGACCCAGCAACGCCGCGUGAAGGAUGAAGGUUUUCGGAUUGUAAACUUCUGUCGCGAGGGAUGAAGAAUGACGGUACCUCGUAAGAAAGCCCCGGCAAACUACGUGCCAGCAGCCGCGGUAAUACGGGGGGUGCAAGCGUUGUCCGGAAUCAUUGGGCGUAAAGCGUUCGUAGGCGGUAUAUCAAGUCUGGUGUUAAAGCCCGGGGCUCAACUCCGGUUCAGCAUCGGAUACUGGUAAACUAGAAUGCGGUAGAGGUAAGGGGAAUUCCUGGUGUAGCGGUGAAAUGCGUAGAUAUCAGGAGGAACAUCGGUGGCGAAAGCGCCUUACUGGGCCGUUAUUGACGCUGAGGAACGAAAGCCGGGGGAGCAAACA